AAAAAUGGUCUCUAUAAAACUGUCAUAGAAGUGAGAGAUUUAGCUAGCUAUAAAAGCAUGUUUAAUCCAUCAUUUUCUACAUAAGAAAAUGCCCGUACUGAGUUAGGAAUAUGACAUUAUCCAUUUGUCUGACGUGUUUGAGCUAUUGACUUUGCCAUUUAAUCACAAACUUUCUGUUUUGUUUUUUCCUCAGAGUUCAGUAUUUUUGUCAUUUCCGUUUUUAUAACAGUUAUAUUUAAUUCACAACACAAUUAUAAAAUGUUUAUCCGACUGUAUUGGGGUUACUAACAUACUGUAAAUUAAGAAUGUUUGUUUGCCUGUAGUAUUAUAAUAGUUGUACAAUAGACACAAAUAAGAGAUUUAUUAUUGAGAUUUCAAAUAAUACUGCAUACAAAUAAUGAGGGGGGAUAGGAGGGGUCCCGAUCCCGAAAUCCCGGGCUAAAAAACACGAAAUCCCCAGGUCCCAGAUUUGAAUAAAGUAAAUCCUGACGUCCCAAAAUCCAAAAAAAAGGAAUUCCCGAAUCCCGAAAGGGCCAAUCCUGAAAUCCCGAGCUUAAUAACACCUGAAACCGGAGUCCAGAUAAAGGUCCUAUCCCCCCUCAAUAAUGCUAUCAAAAUUUCUUUUGGUAAAAUUGAUCUGGUAUCAAAUUUUACAAUGUCAAACACACUAUGCUGUCUGGUAUCUACAUUAAUUAUACUACUUUUUCACAUUGUACAGAGGGAUAAAACAGGCAAAUAACCUGUCUACAUUGGGUAGUGAUAAAUUUUGAUUUUGCUUAAAUAGGCUAGAAAUUUGACAACAAACUUGGUUACACUUUGGUGCUAAAAUUCCCCAUAUUUGGUUGCUUAGCUGUCUUAUCAAUCUGCUAAUGUGAUGCCUGCUGAGUUUUUGAGGGCCUAUUUGUAAAUACUAACUAUGUACAUGAUGUAGGCAGAUUUCAAUAUCAGGUAUGAGAAAAAAAAUCCUACCAAGAGAACCUCUCAGCAAAUUGUUCAAGUAUAUAUGCAAAUUAACAAAUUGUUACUUGAUACAAUAUCUUAAAAUUUGACGAAAGCUUUAUACUGAAAUUAAGCUGAUACAUAAAAACUCAGCUUUAAUGUUGCAAAAGGGCC
rnacentral:lncRNA from 1 species